UGGUUAGGUAUAGGUAAAGAUUGUGGUUUGGGUUAAAAUAAGUAGGUUUGAUAUGUAAAAUAAGUAUUCAUUUGUUACACAACUGCCAUUAAUAAAGCACAGU